AACGAACGCUGGCGGCAUGCCUAACACAUGCAAGUCGAACGAGACCUUCGGGUCUAGUGGCGCACGGGUGCGUAACGCGUGGGAACCUGCCCUUAGGUUCGGAAUAACUCCCCGAAAGGGGUGCUAAUACCGGAUAAUGUCUUCGGACCAAAGAUUUAUCGCCUUUGGAUGGGCCCGCGUUGGAUUAGCUAGUUGGUAGGGUAAAAGCCUACCAAGGCGACGAUCCAUAGCUGGUCUGAGAGGAUGAUCAGCCACACUGGGACUGAGACACGGCCCAGACUCCUACGGAAGGCAGGAGUGGGGAAUAUUGGACAAUGGGCGAAAGCCUGAUACAGCAAUGCCGCGUGAGUGAUGAAGGCCUUAGGGUUGUAAAGCUCUUUUACCCGGGAUGAUAAUGACAGUACCGGGAGAAUAAGCACCGGCUAACUCCGUG
rnacentral:rRNA from 1 species